rnacentral:rRNA from 1 species
UACGAAGGGGGCUAGCGUUGCUCGGAAUCACUGGGCGUAAGGCGCACGUAGGCGGACUCUUAAGUCGGUGGUGAAAUCCUGGAGCUCAACUCCAGAACUGCCUUCGAUACUGAGAGUCUCGAGUCCGAGAGAGGUGAGUGGAACUGCGAGUGUAGAGGUGAAAUUCGUAGAUAUUCGCAAGAACACCAGUGGCGAAGGCGGCUCACUGGCUCGGUACUGACGCUGAGGUGCGAAAGCGUUGGGAGCAAACAGG